AAGAAUAGGAAAGAAUGAAAUGGGAGAGGAAUGUAUUCUACGUUUGGAAAUUUCCUUUCAUAGCCUAUUAGAGAGAUAUUUUGCAAAUAUCCUUGUGGAAGGCGCUAAAGAGAAACAGUAAAACGCAAUAAGCAAAAACAAAGGAAAUGGAAGGUUUUCGAAGCAAUAUCAUUUGCAAGUCGCUCUGUCGAUUCAACUGUUCCAGACGAUGUGUCUUCAUUAGCAGAAUUAUAGUCGUUUAAAACGAAAGUUAGAUUGUAAGGCUAAGUUGUGUGCAACCUUCAGCCGUAAUUUACGCCACUUAUAAUUCCCGGGUGAUACAUUGUUGGAAGCCAUGGAGCUUUCACGUGCUCAUCGCGUGGAAAACUACACGGCUGCACAUCCGCUUAUCGCGGCUGCAGUGCUGCAAUUAUCCCAGGUCGACUACAGUUGCACGAGUCGCAUCGAAAAUUCAUUUCUACCAUCACUCGAGACGCCCUUAAACGAUCCGCUGUCUUCCGUCGGAUUUUCCGCCCGAUUUUCCCUGUGAUUCGCGCGAAAAUGCCGCCAUGGGAAGAAUAAAACGCGAGGGAGCUGCUUUUCCAUAUCUACACGUGUAAUCUGAAAAUAAUUUAUCGGAAGAAGCGAGCUAAAGUCUCGAAUAAUGAUAAUUUCUUAAAAAUGAUAUCCACGUGAAAAAAUUGUAAAAACUUCUUAAGAACUCAGACACACGAAAUUCAAUAAGUAUACGCAGACUAUCGUGACUGACCGUAUUAUAAAAUUCCAUGCUGUUUCUUCUCACGAACAAACUUCGAUAAAUUACACUAUGUAAAUUUAUUUCGACACGUGAUAUAUAACAUACGAAAGUGGUCACAUAAAACAACAGCUGGCAUUUCCACGGGACUAAAAUUUCAAGCACUGCAGAGCGCGUGACACUUGCAAUUUUCAUGUGCAACCCAGCGGCGAUUACGCGCGCCGCGACGCUACGCCGACCGGCGAAUCUCUGAUAAUCGGAUAAUGGAAGAGCAGGGAGAGAGAGAAAGAGAGAGAAAGAGACUGCGAUUGCGGCCGACCGAUUAAUUUGCCGCCCCAUUGCGAGCUCCCUGCUGCUCGUUCGAAACGAGACGGAAGCCUCGAGGUUCUUUCGAGGAUCGUUUCAUUUCGUUUUGAGAUUGCGUCGGGGAUUUGUUCGAUAAAAAUUGCUCGCGGUUGCUGCCUUAUCCUUAACGUUGAGUAGGCCAUUUUACGAGAUUCUUCCAGUCAAUAGGAAUGUCCUGCCUCCAGAUUUCCGCUUUCUACAUUUCCAACUCUAUUUGAAGAUUCGUAUAAAUUGUAGGUGGUUGGAACAUAUUAAAUCGUAGGAUGUGAAAUUGCUAAUUUAAAAUAAAAUCUAUGUACAUUGUACAUACGUCGAAAUACGAAGUUAGAUUGUAAAUUCGCAAAAUCAUUGUCCGAUUCUUUAUUGCAGAAAUUUCUUCUUUUAUAGGAAACUGAUAAUCGAAGAACACAGAGAAAAGAAAUGACAUUGUUUGGUUUUGACAUUUUCAGAUGACGUUACAGAAGAGAGCGAUUUUAAUAUUCGAUGCGCCGUUUAUCAAACCCAUAAAACGAAAACUAUGUUUUUGUCUAGCUUUCGGAUUAAAUAUAUAUUUUUACCGCCUUCCAAAAUAUCUCAAAUAUAUUAAUUGUCAUCCGUGAGAACGAUUAAUCUCGAUGGAAUUGAUUCUAUUUUUAGUAAAAGAAAUUAGUAAAAAAUUGACCAAUUUGAUUUUGGUACGCGUAAACAAAUAAUUUAUCGAUUUCCUUCAAAAUAAGUAGGAAAAUAGAUCGAUAGAAAAUAUCUGUCAAUCCGCGAUUUCAAAAUGAUUUUCAGAUUUUUGGGAUUUUGAUGGUUUCUGAAUGUAUCGAGACGUUUCUGUUUGAGGAACUGGAGGGUUUGAUCACCCGUCAAAAAUAAUUCAACGAUAUGCGUUCGACAGAACAUUACGAAUGUUAUAUGAAAGAGUCAUUCCCCUCUUCGCUGCUGUCAUAUAGUAUCGGUUAUAAUGAUUUAAACAUGUCCGGCAAAACAAGAAUUAUUCUCUCGGGGGAGAAGUAUAUUUAAUCAUUUUUACAGUUUACGAGGAGCGUUGCGAAGGAAUUUAUGUUGUUACACGAAAACAUUUAAAAAUGAAAAAGGAGAAUUUUUCGAUACAAGUAAAAAUUCUUCUUGCAUAUAAACUUUAGCAAAACGUUUCCAUAAUUCCACUGUGUCUUGCGUUAUCAAUUUAACAAUUUUUCAAUCUCUCUCUAAAAACUUAUUUCUAGUCUCUUAAAAGUAUUACGUAAUAUUAUAAUCCGAAGAUCUGGCAAAAAUAUUUCUUAACCAACAUAAUGGAAGAAAUGUUCCCAUUUUUCUUACAAGAUAUAAAAGAAUACGGCUAUUAAGAAUAUAAAAGGGCUAUCAAUUCACGAAAAUAUGAGAAAAGAAGAGAAAUUAUUAAGUCACAUAUAUCUAAAAAAAAAAAAAACGAAACAAA